UACGUAGGGGGCAAGCGUUGUCCGGAAUCAUUGGGCGUAAAGAGCGCGUAGGCGGCCCUGUAAGUCCGCUGUGAAAGUCAAGGGCUCAACCCUUGAAUGCCGGUGGAUACUGCAGGGCUAGAGUCCGGAAGAGGCGAGUGGAAUUCCUGGUGUAGCGGUGGAAUGCGCAGAUAUCAGGAGGAACACCAAUGGCGAAGGCAGCUCGCUGGGACGUGACUGACGCUGAGACGCGAAAGCGUGGGGAGCAACAGG
rnacentral:rRNA from 1 species